rnacentral:rRNA from 1 species
UCCUCCGCUUAUUGAUAUGCUUAAGUUCAGCGGGUAUUCCUACCUGAUCCGAGG